GACGAACGCUGGCGGCGUGCCUAAUACAUGCAAGUAGAACGCUGAAGAGAGGAGCUUGCUCUUCUUGGAUGAGUUGCGAACGGGUGAGUAACGCGUAGGUAACCUGCCUUGUAGCGGGGGAUAACUAUUGGAAACGAUAGCUAAUACCGCAUAACAAUGGAUGACACAUGUCGUUUAUUUGAAAGGGGCAAUUGCUCCACUACAAGAUGGACCUGCGUUGUAUUAGCUAGUAGGUGAGGUAACGGCUCACCUAGGCGACGAUACAUAGCCGACCUGAGAGGGUGAUCGGCCACACUGGGACUGAGACACGGCCCAGACUCCUACGGGAGGCAGCAGUAGGGAAUCUUCGGCAAUGGGGGCAACCCUGACCGAGCAACGCCGCGUGAGUGAAGAAGGUUUUCGGAUCGUAAAGCUCUGUUGUAAGUCAAGAACGAGUGUGAGAGUGGAAAGUUCACACUGUGACGGUAGCUUACCAGAAAGGGACGGCUAACUACGUGCCAGCAGCCGCGGUAAUACGUAGGUCCCGAGCGUUGUCCGGAUUUAUUGGGCGUAAAGCGAGCGCAGGCGGUUUGAUAAGUCUGAAGUUAAAGGCUGUGGCUCAACCAUAGUUCGCUUUGGAAACUGUCAAACUUGAGUGCAGAAGGGGAGAGUGGAAUUCCAUGUGUAGCGGUGAAAUGCGUAGAUAUAUGGAGGAACACCGGUGGCGAAAGCGGCUCUCUGGUCUGUAACUGACGCUGAGGCUCGAAAGCGUGGGGAGCGAACAGGAUUAGAUACCCUGGUAGUCCACGCCGUAAACGAUGAGUGCUAGGUGUUGGAUCCUUUCCGGGAUUCAGUGCCGCAGCUAACGCAUUAAGCACUCCGCCUGGGGAGUACGACCGCAAGGUUGAGACUCAAAGGAAUUGACGGGGGCCCGCACAAGCGGUGGAGCAUGUGGUUUAAUUCGAAGCAACGCGAAGAACCUUACCAGGUCUUGACAUCCCGAUGCUAUUUCUAGAGAUAGAAAGUUACUUCGGUACAUCGGUGACAGGUGGUGCAUGGUUGUCGUCAGCUCGUGUCGUGAGAUGUUGGGUUAAGUCCCGCAACGAGCGCAACCCCUAUUGUUAGUUGCCAUCAUUCAGUUGGGCACUCUAGCGAGACUGCCGGUAAUAAACCGGAGGAAGGUGGGGAUGACGUCAAAUCAUCAUGCCCCUUAUGACCUGGGCUACACACGUGCUACAAUGGUUGGUACAACGAGUUGCGAGUCGGUGACGGCAAGCUAAUCUCUUAAAGCCAAUCUCAGUUCGGAUUGUAGGCUGCAACUCGCCUACAUGAAGUCGGAAUCGCUAGUAAUCGCGGAUCAGCACGCCGCGGUGAAUACGUUCCCGGGCCU
rnacentral:rRNA from 1 species